rnacentral:rRNA from 1 species
CAACUUUCAACAACGGUUCUCUUGGUUCGGGCAUCGAUGAAGAACGCAGCGAAAUGCGAUACGUAGUGUGAAUUGCAGAAUUCAGUGAAUCAUCGAAUCUUUGAACGCACAUUGCGCCCUUUGGUAUUCCAAAGGGCAUGCUUGUUCGAGCGUCAUUU